AAAAUAUCACAGCCACCCUCAAACCCUAAUCCUAUUCCCCACCCCCAGCAGCCACACGCCCCAAGCGGCCAAGCCCCUUGCAGCGCCCAACGGCGCAUCGGCAGGACUGGCCAUGCGGCGCCGCUCGGCCGCCCGCCCUCCGCUCCUCAUCGCUGCUUGCUGAGCUUUCAAUUUAAUUGGUUCGAGUCAUGUGGUGUUGUUCUUUUGGGGGAACCUUCAAGCAGCAAGUAACAAAUCAAGAGCCCUAGAUGCAAGCCUGCAAAGAACUAUUGAUGGCCCUCUCUCCUUUUGAUUGAACUGUGAUUUGUCAAUAGCAAAUUGUAAUGAACUUGUAGACUUGUAAUACUACUUGCAUGCUAAUCUCUUUUGCUUGCUGCUGAUAAUAUAUGGGCAUAUGGCUUGUGAUUCUUGUGA